UACGUAGGGUGCAAGCGUUGUCCGGAAUUAUUGGGCGUAAAGAGCUCGUAGGCGGUCUGUCGCGUCGGAUGUGAAAAUCCAGGGCUCAACCCUGGAAUGCCGGUGGAAACUGUCAGGCUCGAGUCCGGAAGAGGCGAGUGGAAUUCCCGGUGUAGCGGUGAAAUGCGCAGAUAUCAGGAGGAACACCAAUGGCGAAGGCAGCUCGCUGGGACGGUACUGACGCUGAGACGCGAAAGCGUGGGGAGCAAACAGG
rnacentral:rRNA from 1 species